rnacentral:lncRNA from 1 species
CCCAGUUCUGUGCUUCCAUCAUAAAUCCUAGUGACCCUUGCGGUCCAGGCACAAUUCCAGGACCUCCAAAUCAGAAAUAUGCACCCCCUUUGCUCCACUUUUCAUCCCAAUUGCUAUCGUAAGGUUUUCUCAGAGUCUGGAUACGCUUGAAAAUGAGAUUAUAGUAGCCUAAAGUUUUGCAGCCAUCAACCUGCCAUAACAAUGCUUUUCUAAAGUUUUGACCAUAUGAGUUACCUUCCAGUAGACAAAGAGUCGAGGUCCUGUUCCUCCAUAGAAUUCAGGAUAAAUCUUCAAGAAAGGUUCAGUAAAAGAGAAGUGUGUACAUAUCUUUCAAUUGUGUUCAACGGGCUUGAUUUGUUCGAAAUGAUCCACAAUUGUGCUAAACUGAACUUCGAAGUUUUUUCCGCGUAUAGCUCCCAGACAUUUAUACUUGUUUCCAAAAAACUCAUUGUAUCUGUGAUAAAUUGUCAGCUCUUGAAUGUUUGUUACCUCGUGUGUUUCUCUUGUACAAUCCUUGUGUGGUAUAUGGUUCUAGCGCUGACAGCCUCAUAGAUCCUUCUUCACCAUCUCAGCAAAGAUUUGCCCUGCCUGUGUGUCGAAAGAGUCACUCUCAGCAAAGGUUUGCCCUCGGAGGAGUCACUCGUGCGAAUGACACACUAGGAUCUGGAACAGUUGGGACAAG